rnacentral:rRNA from 1 species
CCUACUGGUGGCAGCAGUGGGGGAUAUUGGGCAAUGGGGGCAACCCUGAUCCAGCGACGCCGCGUGAGUGAAGAAGUAUUUCGGUAUGUACAGCUCUAUCAGCGGGGAAGACAGACAUGCCGGUCCCUGUGUAAGAACCCCCGCCUAACUCCGUCCCAGCAGCCGCGGUACUACGGAGGGGGCACGCGUUAGCCGGACUUACUGGGUGUAAAGGGCGCGUCGCCGGUAAUGCAAGUAUGGUGUGAAAGGCGGGGGCCCAACCCCGGAACUGCACUGGAACCUGUGUAACGUGAGUGCAGGAGAGGCAGGCGGAAUUCCUAGUGUAGCGGUGAAAUGCGUAGAUAUGAGGAGGAACACCAGUGGCGAAGGCGGCCUGCUGGACUGUAACUGACGUUGAGGCUCGAAAGCGUGGGGAGCAAACAGGAUUAGAUACCCGUGUAGUC